UACGAAGGGGGCUAGCGUUGUUCGGAAUUACUGGGCGUAAAGCGCACGUAGGCGGAUACUUAAGUCAGGGGUGAAAUCCCGGGGCUCAACCCCGGAACUGCCUUUGAUACUGGGUAUCUCGAGUCCGGAAGAGGUGAGUGGAAUUCCGAGUGUAGAGGUGAAAUUCGUAGAUAUUCGGAGGAACACCAGUGGCGAAGGCGGCUCCCUGGGGCGCCCCUGACACUGAGAAGCGAAAGCCAGGGGAGCAAACGGG
rnacentral:rRNA from 1 species